CCAAUAGCGUAUAUUAAAGUUGUUGCAGUUAAAAAGCUCGUAGUUGAAUUUUGGGUUUGGCCGAUUGGUCCGUUCUUGUAGCGAGUACUGGUCGGUUGGGCCUCACCGCUUGGGGAAGGGUAAUGUCCUUUAUUGGGUGUUGCUCGGAGCCAAGACCUUUACCUUGAAAAAAUUAGAGUGUUUAAAGCAGGCUUAUGCCGGAAUACAUUAGCAUGGAAUAAUAGAAUAGGACAACGAUUCUAUUUUGUUGGUUUCUAGGACCGUUGUAAUGAUUAAUAGGGAUAGUUGGGUGCAUUAGUAUUCAAUUGUCAGAGGUGAAAUUCUUGGAUUUAUUGAAGACUAACUACUGCGAAAGCAUUUGCCAAGGAUGUUUUCAUUAAUCAAGAACGAAAGUUAGGGGAUCGAAGACGAUCAGAUACCGUCGUAGUCUUAACCAUAAACUAUGCCGACUAGGGAUCGGGCGAUGUUGUUUCAAUGACUCGCUCGGCACCUUAUG
rnacentral:misc_RNA from 1 species